CAGGGAGAACACACACACAUCAGAGAAUUCAACGUCAGAGUUUCAUUUCUUUGAAUCAGUCCCUUACAUCUGAGGGAGGUAAGGGCUUGACUCCAGGGCAGGGGUAGAUCAGUGGGUAAGAUGUUGGUGACUCCAGGGCAGGGGUGAAUCAGUGUAUAAGAUGUUGGUGACUCCAGGGCAGGGGUGGAUCAGUGGAUAAGAUGUUGGUUGGCUCCAGAGCAGGGGGAGAUCCAUGGUUAAGAUGUUGGUUGGCUCCAGGGCAGGGGUGGAUCAGUGGAUAAGAUGUUGGUGACUCCAGGGCAGGGGUGGAUCAGUGGAUAAGAUGUUGGUUGGCUCCAGGCCAGGGGUGGAUCAGUGGAUAAGAUGUCGGUUGGCUCCAGGGCAGGGGUAGAUCAGUGGAUAAGAUGUUGGUGACUCCAGGGCAGGGGUGGAUCAGUGGAUAAGAUGUUGGGUAAUUCCAGGCCAGGGGUGGAUCAGUGGAUAAGAUGUUUGUUGACUCCAGGGCAGGGGUAGAUCCGUGCAUAAGAUGUUGGGUGACUCCAGGGCAGGGAUGGAUCAGUGGAUAAGAUGUUGGUGAUUCCAGGGCAGGGAUGGAUCAGUGGAUAAGAUGUUGGUGACUGUAGGGCGGGGUAGAUCAGUGGAUAAGAUGUUGGUUGACUCCAGGGCAGGGGUAGAUCAGUGGAUAAGAUGUUGGGUAAUUCCAGGGCAGGGGUAGAUCAGUGGAUAAGAUGUUGGUUGACUCCAGGACAGGGGUGGAUCAGUGUGUAAGAUGUUGGGUGAUUCCAGGGCAGGGGUAGAUCAGUGGAUAAGAUGUUGGGUGAUUCCAGGGCAGGGGUAGAUCAGUGGAUAAGAUGUUGGUUGAUUCCAGGGCAGGGGUGGAUCAGUGGAUAAGACGUUGGUGACUCCAGGGCAGGGGUGGAUCAGUGGAUAAGAUGUUGGGUAAUUCCAGGCCAGGGGUGGAUCAGUGGAUAAGAUGUUUGUUGACUCCAGGGCAGGGGUAGAUCCGUGCAUAAGAUGUUGGGUGACUCCAGGGCAGGGCUGCAUCAGUGGAUAAGAUGUUGGUGACUGUAGGGCAGGGGUAGAUCAGUGGAUAAGAUGUUGGUUGACUCCAGGGCAGGGGUAGAUCAGUGGAUAAGAUGUUGGGUAAUUCCAGGGCAGGGGUGGAUCAGUGUGUAAGAUGUUGGAUAAUUCCAGGGCAGGGGUGGAUCAAUGGAUAAGAUGUCAGAAUACUGAUUGGAAGGUUUUGAGUUCAAAUCCCAGUGCUGCCACUCUUGGGCCCUUAAC
ensembl:lncRNA